AAUAGAUACCCGGGUAGUCCACGCCGUAAACGUUGGAUACUAGGUGUGGCGGUUAUACCAAUGACUGCCGUGCCGAAGCUAACGCAUUAAGUAUCCCGCCUGGGGAGUACGGCCGCAAGGCUAAAACUCAAAGGAAUUGACGGGUCCCCGCACAAGCGGCGGAGCAUGCGGCUUAAUUCGAUGCAACCCGAAGAACCUUACCUGGGUUUGACAUCACGGGAAAAGCUGUAGAAAUACAGUGUCCAUUAGGGCCCGUGACGGGUGGUGCAUGGCUGUCGUCAGCUCGUGUCGUGAGAUGUUGGGUUAAGUCCCGCAACGAGCGCAACCCUUGUCCUAUGUUGCCAGCGGUUUCGGCCGGGGACUCAUAGGAGACUGCCGGGGAUAACUCGGAGGAAGGUGAGGACGACGUCAAGUCAUCAUGCCCCUUAUAUCCAGGGCUGCACGCAUGCUACAAUGGCCGGUACAACGGGCAGCGACCCCGCGAGGGUGAGCGAAUCCUAAAAAGCCGGUCUAGUUCGGAUUGAAGUCUGCAACUCGA
rnacentral:rRNA from 1 species